rnacentral:rRNA from 1 species
UACGUAGGGAGCGGGCGUUGUCCGGAUUCAUUGGGCGUAAAGAGCUCGUAGGCGGCUUGGUAAGUCGGAUGUGAAACCUCCAGGCUCAACCUGGAGUCGCCAUCCGAUACUGCCAUGGCUAGAGUCCGGUAGGGGCCCACGGAAUUCCCGGUGUAGCGGUGAAAUGCGCAGAUAUCGGGAAGAACACCCGUGGCGAAGGCGGCUCUCUGGGACGGUACUGACGCUGAGACGCGAAAGCGUGGGGAGCGAACAGG